ACAAAUCUCUUAAACUGAUGCAUAUAAGUUUGCUCUUCAAGCUCACCAUGCAAGAAAUCUAUUUUAACAUUAUUUGCUCCAAUUUCAAGUCAUACAUGGUGACUAAAGCAAGCAAUACACAAAGAGAACUAUGUUGCUCAACAACUAAGAAAAUAUUACUAAAACUAACAUCUUCAAUAUGACUAUAGCUCUUAGCAGCCAAUCGAGCCUUUACCAAGCAUCUUCAACUCCUGGGUACCAUCUUUCUUCUUAAAGACCCAUUUUCAAUCAACAAUCUUCUUUCUCUGGAUAGUUUCACCAACUUCCAAGUGUAUUUUUUAUAGAAGACUUAAUCUCCUCUUACAUAGCAACUAAUAACAUAGCAGAAUUAAUUCAAAAAAUGGCUUCUAAAUAUGACAAAAAAUCACCAACAUCAACGGUCUCUUCUGCCACUAACAAAAUAUAUGC
rnacentral:lncRNA from 1 species